rnacentral:rRNA from 1 species
GACGAACGCUGGCGGCGUGCCUAAUACAUGCAAGUAGAACGCACAGUUUAUACCGUAGCUUGCUACACCAUAGACUGUGAGUUGCGAACGGGUGAGUAACGCGUAGGUAACCUGCCUGGUAGCGGGGGAUAACUAUUGGAAACGAUAGCUAAUACCGCAUAAUAUUAAUUAUUGCAUGAUAAUUAAUUGAAAGGUGCAAUUGCACCACUACCAGAUGGACCUGCGUUGUAUUAGCUAGUAGGUGAGGUAACGGCUCACCUAGGCGACGAUACAUAGCCGACCUGGGAGGGUGAUCGGCCACACUGGGACUGAGACACGGCCCAGACUCCUACGGGAGGCAGCAGGAGGGAAUCUUCGGCAAUGGACGAAAGUCUGACCGAGCAACGCCGCGUGAGUGAAGAAGGGUUUCGGAUCGUAAAGCUCUGUUGUAAGAGAAGAACGGGUGUGAGAGUGGAAAGUUCACACUGUGACGGUAUCUUACCAGAAAGGGACGGCUAACUACGUG